AGUGAACGCUGGCGGUAGGCCUAACACAUGCAAGUCGAACGGCAGCACAGUAAGAGCUUGCUCUUACGGGUGGCGAGUGGCGGACGGGUGAGGAAUACAUCGGAAUCUACUUUUUCGUGGGGGAUAACGUAGGGAAACUUACGCUAAUACCGCAUACGACCUACGGGUGAAAGCAGGGGAUCUUCGGACCUUGCGCGAUUGAAUGAGCCGAUGUCGGAUUAGCUAGUUGGCGGGGUAAAGGCCCACCAAGGCGACGAUCCGUAGCUGGUCUGAGAGGAUGAUCAGCCACACUGGAACUGAGACACGGUCCAGACUCCUACGGGAGGCAGCAGUGGGGAAUAUUGGACAAUGGGCGCAAGCCUGAUCCAGCCAUACCGCGUGGGUGAAGAAGGCCUUCGGGUUGUAAAGCCCUUUUGUUGGGAGAGAAAAGCAGCAGGUUAAUACCCCGCUGUUCUGGCGGUACCCAAAGAAUAAGCACCGGCUAACUUCGUG
rnacentral:rRNA from 1 species